AGGACGAACGCUGGCGGCGUGCCUAACACAUGCAAGUCGAGCGGGACACACGACGGACAGGAGGUUUCGGACAGACUGGAAGAUGUAUGUUCUAGCGGCGGACGGGUGAGUAACGCGUGAGCAACCUGUCCUUCACAGGGGGAUAACACAGCGAAAGUUGUACUAAUACCGCAUAAGACCACGGCGAGACAUCUCGCAGGGGUCAAAGGAGCAAUCCGGUGAAGGGUGGGCUCGCGUCCGAUUAGAUAGUUGGUGAGGUAACGGCCCACCAAGUCGACGAUCGGUAGCCGACCUGAGAGGGUGAUCGGCCACAUUGGGACUGAGACACGGCCCAAACUCCUACGGGAGGCAGCAGUGGGGAAUAUUGGGCAAUGGGGGAAACCCUGAACCCCCAGCAACGCCGCGUGAGGGAAGAAGGUUUUCGGAUCGUAAACCUCUGUCCUAUGUGAAGAGUAAGAGACGGUAGCAUAGGAGGAAGCCCCGGCUAACUACGUGCCAGCAGCGGC
rnacentral:rRNA from 1 species